UCCUCUUCACCCUCUACACCACAGACUUCAGCCACUGCACAGAGACCUCCAUCUUCAGAAGUUUUCUGAUGACUGGAUGGCAGGACAUGAUCCAUCUUGAAGACUCCAAAGGAAUGUCUCCUCUCUAACAGGAGGAUGGAUAAUAGUGCCUGUAAUGCUACCAUGUGUAACACAGCGGGUGCACACAAGCUUCCUCUGACAAAGCCAGAGGCCAACUGAGCACAUAGCCCCUCCCCCCACAGUUGGCUCCGAGGCUGACUGUCAUGAAACAGUCAUGAAUCAAUUACAUCAUAACACUUAAAGGCAAUUGUUGCGCAUAGUCUAUAGGGCUUUGGAGUUGACGUCAUGCCGCAGAGCGCGGCGCCAUUUUCGGGGUCUACGAAUCAAAAGAGACACUGUGUUGGAACGACGUCGACAAGAAUCAUGCUUAAAAGCAGCUCCAAAGAAAACGGACGGUAUAGAGACCGAAUGCGUCCAGAGGCGAAGCGGCGGUACUUGCAGAAAAUAGCGUGCAUUGGAAAUGUGGACCCGUAUGAAAUACGGCCGUGGAGUAGAAACCCUGAAGACCAACCGCUACUGACAUAGCCUCACAUAUUUUCGUACCUUAUCUGUGCAGUCAGCGAGUACAAGUCCUCAUCCAAACAAAGUGAUUAUGCAACCUGGAAGCAACACGAGGUAGCUCGUGUAUCGGAUGUUACCAAACGAAGGCGUCUAGCCUGGAUAGCAGCUGUGAGACGAGCUGAUAUCCAGCUCUCUUCCAUCUCCAAAUAUCUGUUGGUGCUCCAUUUUCAUUCCGG